rnacentral:rRNA from 1 species
AUUGAACGCUGGCGGCAUGCUUUACACAUGCAAGUCGAACGGUAACGCGGGGCAACCUGGCGACGAGUGGCGAACGGGUGAGUAAUGCAUCGGAACGUGCCCGGUAGUGGGGGAUAACUGCUCGAAAGAGCAGCUAAUACCGCAUACGACCUGAGGGUGAAAGGGGGGGAUCGCAAGACCUCUCGCUAUUGGAGCGGCCGAUGUCGGAUUGGCUAGUUGGUGGGGUAAGGGCCCACCAAGGCGACGAUCCGUAGCUGGUCUGAGAGGACGACCAGCCACACUGGGACUGAGACACGGCCCAGACUCCUACGGGAGGCAGCAGUGGGGAAUUUUGGACAAUGGACGCAAGUCUGAUCCAGCCAUGCCGCGUGCGGGAAGAAGGCCUUCGGGUUGUAAACCGCUUUUGUCAGAGAAGAAAUCUUCUGGGUUAAUACCUCGGGAGGAUGACGGUAUCUGAAGAAUAAGCACCGGCUAACUACGUGCCAGCCGCCGCGGUAA